rnacentral:tRNA from 1 species
GCCGAGGUAGCCAAGGUGGUCACGGCGCGUGUCUGAAAAACAUGAGAUGGCAGUUCGACUCUGCCCCUCGGCACAA